rnacentral:rRNA from 2 species
CCUGGCGGCCUUAGCGCGGUGGUCCCACCUGACCCCAUGCCGAACUCAGAAGUGAAACGCCGUAGCGCCGAUGGUAGUGUGGGGUCUCCC